GCGGUAGCUUUUGGCGGGGAGCGGUCCGAUGGCCAUCGGACAGGUCGGAGGUUCAAUCCCUCCAGCGCGCACCA
rnacentral:tRNA from 1 species